rnacentral:lncRNA from 1 species
GGAAUUUCAGAAUAUACCACCUAUAGCCUUUUCAAGGAAAAUAAAGAAAAAGCCAACCAGAAAAACUCUGAGUAUCCCAAUAAGUCAAGAACAGGUUACAAUGUUUGGAAAGGAGUGUGUAAAACUGCCUUUUUUUUUCACAGAUGACAUAAUUGUGGGCAUACAACAUCAAAUAAAAAGAUAAACUAUUGCAAUCAAUAAAUCAAUUCAUCAAGGUCACUGGACCCAGGUCAAUAACAAAAAACAAUUGUAUCUCUAUAUACUAGCAAUAAAUAAUUGAAAAAUAAGAUAAAACAGGAACUAUUUACAGCAGCAUUUUUAGAAAAUCACACAUUUAUGAGUAAAUCUUAAGAAAGUAGUGCAAGUACAAUUGCACUACUGAGAGACAUUAAAAUCUGAAUAAGUAAAGAAGUAUUCCACGUUUUUGGGUCAAAAAAUUAAAUAUUCAAUAUAUCAAUUCUCUCAAAACUUAUCUAUAAGUACAAUAUACUCCCAAUCAAAAAGGCUGACAUUUUUUGCAUGUGGAAAUUGACAUGUGAUUCCAAAGUUUAUGUAGAAAUAGCCAGGAAGAUGUUAAAGAAGAGGAAGAAAUAUGGAUGAUUUAAAAUACAAGAUUCC